rnacentral:rRNA from 1 species
AACAUCUGACCCACUGAAUGCAAUCAGUCUCAUUGAACCCCAGAGGCUAAUCAGGGCUGGACUUGGUUAAUACUUGGAUAGAAGACUACGGGGACACACAAGAUGGGAAUGUUU